GGGCCCGCACAAGCGGUGGAGCAUGUGGUUUAAUUCGAUGAUACGCGAGGAACCUUACCAGGGUUUAAAUGCAGAACGACAGGGGUGGAAACACCCCCUUCUUCGGACGGACUGCAAGGUGCUGCAUGGUUGUCGUCAGCUCGUGCUGUGAAGUGUCGGGUUAAGUCCCAUAACGAGCGCAACCCCCAUUUCUAGUUGCCAGCGGUUCGGCCGGGGACUCUAGAGAAACUGCCAGCGUAAGCUGUGAGGAAGGUGGGGAUGACGUCAAAUCAUCACGGCCCUUACAUCCUGGGCCACACACGUGCUACAAUGGUGGGGACAACAGGAAGCAAGACUGCGAAGUUAAGCAAA
rnacentral:rRNA from 1 species